rnacentral:rRNA from 1 species
AACUCUGCAAAAUAGCACCGUAUCUUCGGUAUAAGGUGUGGUUAGCUUUGUAUUAGGAUUUACUCCGAAAGCAAGGAAACUUACAACAAAGAGUCCCUCCCGACUGUUUACCAAAAACACAGCACUCUGCUAACUCGUAAGAGGAUGUAUAGGGUGUGACGCCUGCCCGGUGCUCGAAGGUUAAUUGAUGGGGUUAGCAUUAGCGAAGCUCUUGAUCGAAGCCCGAGUAAACGGCGGCCGUAACUAUAACGGUCCUAAGGUAGCGAAAUUCCUUGUCGGUUAAAUACCGACCUGCAUGAAUGGCGUAACGAGAUGGGAGCUGUCUCAAAGAGGGAUCCAGUGAAAUUGUAGUGGAGGUGAAAAUUCCUCCUACCCGCGGCAAGACGGAAAGACCCCGUGGACCUUUACUACAGCUUGACACUGCUACUUGGAUAAGAAUGUGCAGGAUAGGUGGGAGGCUUUGAGUAUAUGACGCCAGUUGUAUAUGAGCCAUUGUUGAGAUACCACUCUUUCUUAUUUGGGUAGCUAACCAGCUUGAGUUAUCCUCAAGUGGGACAAUGUCUGGUGGGUAGUUUGACUGGGGCGGUCGCCUCCCAAAUAAUAACGGAGGCUUACAAAGGUUGGCUCAGAACGGUUGGAAAUCGUUCGUAGAGUAUAAAGGUAUAAGCCAGCUUAACUGCAAGACAUACAAGUCAAGCAGAGACGAAAGUCGGUCUUAGUGAUCCGGUGGUUCUGUGUGGAAGGGCCAUCGCUCAAAGGAUAAAAGGUACCCCGGGGAUAACAGGCUGAUCUCCCCCAAGAGCUCACAUCGACGGGGAGGUUUGGCACCUCGAUGUCGGCUCAUCGCAUCCUGGGGCUGGAGCAGGUCCCAAGGGUAUGGCUGUUCGCCAUUUAAAGCGGUACGCGAGCUGGGUUCAGAACGUCGUGAGACAGUUCGGUCCCUAUCUGCCGUGGGCGUAAGAAGAUUGAAGAGAUUUGACCCUAGUACGAGAGGACCGGGUUGAACAAACCACUGGUGUAGCUGUUGUUCUGCCAAGAGCAUCGCAGCGUAGCUAAGUUUGGAAAGGAUAAACGCUGAAAGCAUCUAAGCGUGAAGCCAACUCUAAGAUGAAUCUUCUCUAAGCUCUCUAGAAGACUACUAGUUUGAUAGGCUGGGUGUGUAAUGGAUGAAAGUCCUUUAGCUGACCAGUACUAAUAGAGCGUUUGGCUUAUCUUUAAUAAAGCAU